AAAAAUGCGUUGAUGGAGAAGAGUAGCCGGGCAAUCUUGAGCACAGAGAAGGAUUCCGCAUGUUGGCAUGCGGGUGGAAGAAUCCUGCCAGGCCCCGACGAAAACCACUCCGGAGCAGUCUGUGUGAACCUGCAGCUUUGCAGCAGUAAUGCAGACCGUGUGCCAGGCGUUAGUGGCGGCGAGCGCGGCCCCUGUCGAGGGGAGCCGAAGUAAGGUGGUACCGCGGAUUACCGUGAGCAUUGAUCUCCACGGGAUUCGUCCUUACG
rnacentral:ncRNA from 1 species